rnacentral:lncRNA from 1 species
GGGCAGCGAGUUUAGUAUUGCAUCUUUUCCAAGCUGCUCAUGCAGAGGAAAGCCAAGCUUGCUUAAUCAUUCCAUCAGCUCGAUCAUGUACAAUAUAUGAUCAGUGACAGAGGCACCAUCCCGUAUUUUGGCGUUGAAGAUGGCACAACUAGUCUUGUGCCUCUCCAUGUCAUCGGGUGUGCUAAAGGCAUGCUCAAACACUUGAAGCAUGUCCUUUGGCUGAGCUGUUUUGAAUCUGUGAUUGAACUUGUCGCUCAUGGCAGCCAGCAUGAUACAACGCACCAUGGUC